CGCCACCUAGGUGAUGAGCUGUAAGGGCUUGGGGACCUCUGUAGUGAGAUGUGACUCCUGUGACUGUCACCUCCACCAAGCCCCCCUCCCUCACCCUCCACCCUUACUCUUGGAGGAGGAUGAAAUCUUACACUGAACAAAGCUGAGUGGAAAGACAGCAAACACCAGGACUUCGAGGGCUCAGAAUUAGCCUGGUCUUGUUAUGAGAUCCCAGAAACCAUGAUCACGACCAAGAUAAAGAACACGUCCUCACCCUCAAAAGUUUUCUCAUGCUCCUCUGCAAUCCAUCCUCAUUCCCUGUUCCAGGCAACUAUUGAUUUGCUUUCUGUUGCAAACUUCAGUUCUUAAUAACUAAUACCUAUGACUGGAGAACAGAUAUUGUGGAUCCCAUUCAACAGAUGAUGAAACCAAGAGUCUGAUGGACUUGGUGAAUGAAGGAUGCAGACGUUUGGAUUCUAAGACCAGUAUGGCUUCCAUCUCAUCCUGUUGCCAGUUGUCCCUUAUACACUCAAAACCUCAAUUUAUAAACAGGACUGUCGGUUUCAUGAAGGCGUGUCUCUGUGAUGUUCAUUAGUGCCACUUGUGCCUAAAAUGAGUGAAGUUAGGGAGCACUACACUGACUACAGCCGGGUCACGUGGCUUAUACUUCAUAGUGGAGGAAACAAAGAGUUCUGCGAAGACUCCUAUGCACAGGACUUAAACAAUGCAAGCAGUAAUUACAGAAUAUGAAUCCAACGGUAAACACACAGGAUGAAUCGGAGAGGGAGAGCGACUAAAGACUUGGAAGAUUUGACCUGGAAGGGCUGGAAGUGAGAAUUCACACAUCGAGGCCUAUUCCCAAGAAUUGGGAGGCUCCCUUUCUCUAAGCAUCCCUUGGUUGUAUGCAUCAUAAGAGGGAGGACACUAUACAGAUGAUUCAGCUGGAGCUAAGUGAACUACUUAGAAAGAAAAGGAGAGAACUCUUUCAUUUGUAGCCUUAUGGCUUCAAAUAUAUUUCUAAGAGACAGAAAAAUGUGGCAAGAACCAGACCGUCUUUAGAAGAAAUAAUUACUAUUUCGCUUAGGUGAGGCUUCACAAUCACUUUACAAAGUAAUUUUGUACACAUAUAUCAUUUCACAAUUUAAACUAUAUGUUGUUUGUGGAUUUGAACUUAGAUAACAGCCUUCAUAGGUACAGCUUGCCUCAAUUUCCUUAAUACAUAUUAGCUAGUUCUUCCUUUGAUGAUUAAGAUAGCCUUUUAUGUAUAAAAUAUACCGUUCUGUUUCAGUUAAGCCCCAAAUUAUUAAUUUUGGAUAACUGAAUAUUUUCAAAGAAUCCAAAUAUCCUUAGAAUACUAAUACUUUCACUAUACAUCUGUUUAAAAAUGAAUACAAAUGAACUUUCACUACUCCCUGGUUUUGAAGGAAGCCCAUUCUUCCCAAGCCAUACCAAGUGAGAAAUGUUGCCUGCACUAUGUGCCUUUCUCACAAAACUGAUGCCCUGUGGCAAAGCAGGAAGAUCAAAUUAUAUGAAGAAUGAGAACAAAGUUAUCCCCCAGGUUUUGUCAUUUCUAGAACAAGACAGACUAUUUUUAGGUUUUCAAAAUUCAUUACUGAAUUUUGCAUCAUUACUUUUAAACAGGACCUAUGCUCAAAUGACUUGGUUGAUUCACACAGUUUUUGGCCAAAAUGUACUAUGAACACUUUUUGGAGGUUCAUAAUAUCACGUUUAUUUUAAUGCACAAUUUUGAAUAUCCCAAGAACACACUGGGCAAAUGUCUUUUAAUCCUAAGAAGUUCAAGGCAUUUAAAUGAGGCCUUAAAUUUCAGAAUACUGAGAUUUUUAUCUUUAUAAAGUUGACUUUAUCUUCGCUGUCCACCCUACUAGUUUUAGAACCUGGAAUUUGAUUCUGUCUGUACAAUCUUCCAUUUUUUCUUCUUAUCUGUGACUCCAUUUUAAGAUCCAUGACAAAAUAGCUGUAUGAAAAAUAAUGAAAUUCCUCCUUUGGUGAUAAUAUAAAUGGGAAAUGUACAUCCUGAAAUGUUUUGCAUGAGCGGAUUUAUUCAUAUUAAUUAUGGUUCAUAUAUAAUUCAUUUGAAAAGAUUCUCCUACAGCUUUUAGAAAUGAAAUCUCUAAAAAAUGGAAACAAAUGACAAAUAGUGCACGCAUACAUAUGUGUAGUGUGUGAGUACUCAUUAGGGAAAGUAACAUUUCAGAGUUUAAUGUGGUAUUGCUCUCCUUUAUAAUACUUAUCAGUGUUAGCUAAUCUGAAGGUGCAGCUACAAACUACAGUACUCAGUCAUUAGUGUUUGUGAGAGCUCUUCACGUGGAGGGCAUUGAACUAGAAUUUCCAACUUCAUGGUAUAGACGUCCUCUAGGUAUAUUUUAUGCAUUUCGAACACUAUUGGCUUCAAUUUUUGAAUGAGAAAUAAAUUCCAAAAGUAGUAAAGUCAAAAGAAGUGGUGUCUCUGGGGGUGAGUUGGGUGAGGAUCCUGUGUGAGAUAACAAAAGGAGAUGAAGGUGAGGAAAUGGCUAGCUUCUCAUGCACUGUUUUAGCCACCUUAUGUGAAGAGUACACCUUAACAGUUAGGUUGGCGGAGGGACAGCAUUAGGAAAAGUAGCUAAUGCAUGCUGGGCUUAAUACCUGGGUAAUGAGUUGAUAGGUGUAGCAAACCACAAUGGCACAUGUUUACCUAUGUAACAAACCUGUACAUCCUGCACAUGUACCCCAGAACUAAAAAUGAAAAUAAAAAUGUUAGGUCCAGGGAAAGCUGCCUCUUCUGGCUGGUCCACAGAAUGAUAAUGUGUUGCAACAUGAGGCCAGGCAAUGAAAUAAUGCAAUGAACUGCAAAGAGCCACAUGAACUAAUGGUAAUAAUAAUAAUAAAAGAAAAUCAACAGCAAAAGAAUCCAUUAAAAAAUGUCUUCG
rnacentral:lncRNA from 1 species